rnacentral:lncRNA from 1 species
GUUUCCACGGGCUGCUGGUUCUUCUUGUCAGCUGUUUCCUGAGAGCUGGGGCCCAGGCUGCGUCUGUGAACAGGUAGAGAGUAGCAGUGGCUGCCCAAGGACAGAGGGCCCAGGGCUCUCUAGCUCACCCCUCUUCCAACCUGCCCAGGAUCACUAAAGCCUUUUGGGAAGGGCGGCCCCUGGGUCUGAGUGUGGCAUCCCCAGCCUCCACAGCCCCCAGGCUGGUCCUCAGGCUCCUUGUCAUCCUGUAGGCCCGGGGGGAAGCCAAGAACCUCAAAUGUGAUGAAUAGAUUCGGGAGCUGGAGUGUGAGCCCCAGUCAGCCUCCUUACCUGAGCCUCUCUGUGUCUUGCAGGUCAUGGCACACUGUGGAUUGUGUCCUGCACCAUAGCACCCUCAGCUUCUAUAGAAAUGCCCAAGCCAUGAACAUAGGACUGCCCUCCCAUGGAGAGGUGCCAGUCAGCUUGACCAGGGCCCAGGGCAGCGUGACCCUGGAUUACUGGAAAUGCAAGCACAUCUUCAAGCUAGGAUAAGGCCAACAUCUAGGUCGGGGAGCUCGCAGGUGGCCAAGAGGUGUGAGGGGGACAGCUUGGGUGGCCCCUGGAGGGCAACAGAGCUGCCCUGGCCAGAUUCCUUUCAACUUCCGGGGAGUGUUAGAAGAGGGCAUCAGGGUAUCCCGAUGCUGCCUAGGCACUGCCUGCCAGCUGGAGGGGACAGCUGGGUGUGGUUUGGCCUGGGAGGCCCACUCCCCAUGUCAUGGUCUCACAGAACCUGAGGAGCCUGCCUGGCUCACCUACCCAGGCUGCUUCUGAGCUGACCUCCCCAGCCCUUUGGCCAGACAGCCAUGCACUGGGACCUCUCUGGUACAUAGCUGUCCCCAGCUAUGCCCUAAGGUUCUUUCUUCCUCCACAGUUUACAAGAUGGAAAGGAGCAUUGUUUCAAGCCAAGGAUAAGAGUUCUCUAAGUAUACUGCUGAGUUAUGGGACCCUGCCGAGAGGGAGUACAGAGGCCACCUCAAGCUUUGGUGCACAAUAUGUUUUCUGCCAUUUUGCAGAAACACCCUUGUUGAGCAAGGAGCAAUGGUUUGUGAUUCAUGGGAAUGAGUAUUGGUCUGAGGGUCACAGCCAGUGGCUCAUGAUCAGGGAUGUCUUGACAGGGCCUCUCACCUGUGAGCAAGUUGCUAAAUUGCUGGAUUGUCUCUCCCCCCAUUGACAGAUACCAUGGAUACGCAAAACCCACAAGCUGCUUCUCUGAAUGGGGAUUGGGGAUUGCCUACUGUUCACACGCUGAUCAUGCUUGCAAAAAUGUAUAUCAACAAGGCUGUAUGGCAUAAUAAACUGGAGCUCUUUUCUUACCCUAUGAGUCCCCUGCCUCAUUCAUCUCACUUCUGAGAUCAAAGGGCUCUCAACCAAGAUGGCUGCAACAGUAUAUCAUCAUAUCAUCUGCAGAGCAUGAUAGUUUGGUUUCCUCAUUACCUACUCUAAUUCUUUUAGUCUCUUUUUCUUCUCUUAUUGCCAAGGCUACCAUUUCUAAUACAAUAUUGAAUAAUAAUGGUGAUAGUGGGCAAUCUUGUUUCACCCCUGAUCUUAUCGGGAAUAGUUCUAAUUUGUCCCCAUUACAUAUGAUGCUUGAUGAUGGUUUUAAAUGCAUUCUACUAAUCAUUUUAAAGAAAAGUCCAUUUAUUUCUCUACUCCCUAGUGUUUUUAAUAGGAAUGGAUGUUGGAUUUUAUUAAAUGCUUUUUCUGCAUGUAUUGAGAUGAUCAUUUUUUUUGUUAUGGUUAUUGAUAUAGUCAAUUAUGCUAAUAGCUUUACUAAUAUUGAACCAGCCCUGCAUUCUUGGUAUAAAUCCUACUUGGUCAUGGUGAUCCUGAGGAUCAUUUUCUGUAAUCUCUUUGGUAAUAUUUUAUUUAAGAUUUUUGCAUCCAUAUUCAUUAGGGAGAUUAAUCUGUAAUUUUCUUUCUCUGUUUUCAUCCUACCUGGUUUAGGUAUCAGUACCAUGUCUGUGUCAUAAAAGGAAUUUGGUAGGAGUCCUUUGUUCUCUGUUUUUUCAGAUAGUUUAUAUAAUAUUGGGGUGAAUUGUUUUUUAAAUGUUUGGUAGAAUUCACAUAUAAAUCCAUUUGGUCCUGGGAAUUUUUUCUUAAAGAGUUGAUUAAAUGCUU